rfam:Nicotiana attenuata strain TT scaffold05744, whole genome shotgun sequence.
AAGUUGGUAUCAGAGCACUAGCGCACCGGAUCCCAUCAGAACUCCGAAGUUAAGCGUGCUUGGGCGAGAGUAGUACUAGGAUGGGUAUUGUGGAGACCAAUGGGGUCGACUUC